rnacentral:rRNA from 2 species
GGGGCAAUGCGGCGUGCUUACACAUGCAGUCGAACGGUAAGGCCCCUUCGGGGGUACACGAGUGGCGAACGGGUGAGUAACACGUGGGUGAUCUGCCCUGCACUCUGGGAUAAGCCUGGGAAACUGGGUCUAAUACCGGAUAUGAGCUCCUGUCGCAUGGCGGGGGUUGGAAAGGUUUACUGGUGCAGGAUGGGCCCGCGGCCUAUCAGCUUGUUGGUGGGGUAAUGGCCUACCAAGGCGACGACGGGUAGCCGGCCUGAGAGGGCGACCGGCCACACUGGGACUGAGACACGGCCCAGACUCCUACGGGAGGCAGCAGUGGGGAAUAUUGCACAAUGGGCGAAAGCCUGAUGCAGCGACGCCGCGUGAGGGAUGACGGCCUUCGGGUUGUAAACCUCUU